UUCAGAGAUGCUUGGCUGAGGACACAAAACAAUAGGAAAAGGGAACCCGGUUCCUGAGCUGCCUCCCUUACCUCCCUGUGCCCAAGUCAUGAGUGGGGCAGUGGUGCCUGAGCCCCCAGAGCCCUCUGGCCAGGCAGGAGCUAUGUCUGUCUGUGAAUAGGGGAUGUGAAGGUUUUCUUUUUUACUUCAGGUGCCUGUGAUAAGUCAGGGAGGGGCUGGAGGACUUUGACCAACUUCAGUGGUGGAAUGAGUCAGAGGUGAUGACCUUCAACCUAGGAAGUCAGCUAGUCUGGGACUGGUAUAAAGGGUGCCCUGGCCCCUGCUCAGCUCAACAUUCCACUAGAAGCCUGUCCAGCCAUCCUUCCUGUGGGCCUGUUGCAAUUCCAGCUCAGAAUGUCUCAGCAGAAUCAGUGCUGCCCCCCACCCCAGCAGUGCUACCCUGCACCCAUGCAGUGCUACCCCGCACCCAUGCAGUGCUGCCUCCCACCCCAGCAGUGCUACCCGGCACCCAUGCAGUGCUGCCCCCCACCCCAGCAGUGCUACCCGGCACCCAUGCAGUGCUGCCCCCCACCCCUGCAGUGCUACCUUGUACCCCAGCAGUGCUACCCUGCACCCAUGCAGUGCUACACCCCACCCCAGAAAAACUGAGGUUGGACAUGUGACCAGAAGUCAAGCUCCCAGGAAAAGCAGAGAAGAAGAAAUCAACCACCUCCCUCCAACAGCCAGAUGUCAGCUGCACUCACCUACAGCCAAGCUCCGAAAAAGGCAGCACCAGGCUGACAGCUUCCUCGAUUUCUACCACUUCUUAACUGGCAGCUGCAGUUUCCAUCCCAGACAAGGAUCUGGUCCUCACCUGUCGAAUCAUCUUUGCUGACAUGUACCUACAUCGCCCUGUCGGCUUUUGGAAACAUGGCUAGCCUGCCCGGACACCCUACCCUCUCACUGUUUCCUUCUGCUCCUGUUUUCCAAACAAUUAAAUGUAAUUCCUCUGGCA